GCGUCGGUGGUGUAGUGGUAGAGCACGCGUCCCCGGAUAGGAUGAAACGAGUGUUCGAUUCUUGCCUGAGGCC